GCAAGUCCCUUCCUCUCUGGGCUGAGUUUCCCUAACGGCAGGGAGCCCCCUCUCAGCGCCCAGCAUCAGGAAACCACCGUCAAGGCUCAUGACCAUGUUUCCGCUUACUCGGUCUGCCUCCGCCCUGCCCCUGGUGCCACGCAGGCCUGCACAGCAUGCCAUGCUUCCUGUUUCGUGGGAUUUGUGCAUGUAGCAGCUUCUUCCUCUGUGACAGUCAUUUCUGUGUGUGUCCUAGCACACCUGACUAAAAGGUCCUGGGUACGUUUUAAAAUAACAAGUAAUGGGAGUUAGUA